rfam:Phytophthora megakarya strain zdho120 scaffold_19588, whole genome shotgun sequence.
CAUCUUGUGCUUGGGGCAAUACGAUAGUGUGUGAAGCUUUGCUGAUGCAUCGUGAUUGCUGAUUGAAAACUUAUCCAAUCACCGUGCCCUGGUAUCCUACCAGAGCCAAUUUCUGACCUUCCCCUUUUAGGGG